rnacentral:rRNA from 1 species
AUAAGAGGCCACGCCUGCCCGGUGACCAAAAGUUUAACGGCCGCGGUAUUAUGACCGUGCAAAGGUAGCGUAAUCACUUGUCUUUUAAAUGGAGACCUGUAUGAAUGGCGAGACGAGGGCGAAACUGUCUCCCCCCUUCGGUCAAUGAAACUGAUCUCCCCGUGCAGAAGCGGGGAUACCCCCACAAGACGAGAAGACCCUAUGGAGCUUGAGACUUUGGAGAGCUUGCCUUAAGUAUAUGAUUACAAACUAUUAAACCCCGGCAUCCCUUAUCUAAAUGUCUUUGGUUGGGGCGACCGCGGAGACAAAUCUAACCCCCGCGUGGAUUGGGUACCCCCUAUAAUCAAGAGCUACAGCUCUAAAUAUCAGAAGAUCUGACCUUUAAUGAUCCGGCCUGCCGAUCAACGAACCGAGUUACCCUAGGGAUAACAGCGCAAUCCUCUUCUAGAGCCCCUAUCGACGAGAGGGUUUACGACCUCGAUGUUGGAUCAGGAUAUCCUAAUGGUGUAGCCGCUAUUAAGGGUUCGUUUGUUCAACGAUUAAAAUCC